UGAUAGCUUGCGCACGCCAGUCGUACCCGUACCAGGGUCGGGGAAUCCGGUGGAAGUCCGGAACUGACGCGCAGCGGUGAGGGGGACGGGCGAGGCCAGCGGCCACUGGGGGCCCGUACCCCUGGGAAGGCGGCCCCGCCCGGACGAACCCGAGUCCGAAGACCUGCUGGCACCGCCGUCCCCCA
rnacentral:ncRNA from 1 species